GGGUCGUUAGCUCAGUCGGUAGAGCAGCGGACUUUUAAUCCGUUGGUCGAGCGUUCGAAUCGCUCACGACCC
rnacentral:tRNA from 1 species